rnacentral:tRNA from 1 species
GCCCCCGUGGCGAAACUGGCACACGCACCUGUCUAGAAAACAGGCUCCGCUCAGGAAUUGCGGGUUCGAGUCCCGCCGGGGGCA